rnacentral:rRNA from 1 species
UACGUAGGUGGCAAGCGUUGUCCGGAUUUACUGGGCGUAAAGCGUAUGCAGGCGGAUGAGUAAGUAGGAAGUGAAAGGUUGGAGCUCAACUCUAACACGGCUCCCUAUACUGCUUGUCUUGAGCGCCGGAGAGGACAAGGGAACUUCACGUGUAGCGGUGAAAUGCGUUGAGAUGUGAAGGAACACCAAUGGCGAAAGCACUUGUCUGGACGGAAACUGACGCUGAGAUACGAAAGCCAAGGGAGCGAACAGG